UCUGUUCUGCCAUCAGCUGUGUGCACAAGCUGAGUGCAUAAGAUAAGUAGCCCAACCUGAACUAAGAUCAAAUGAUCAACCAGCAACAAAAACAAACACUGGUGUUGCCUGUCUGGUUUUUUAAGGGUCACAGGGGAACCUGGAGCCUAUCCCAGGAAGCACCAGGCACAAGGCGGGGUACACCCUGGAUAGGGUGCCAGUCCAUCACAGGGCACAAUCACAUAUACACUCACACACCCAUUCAUACACUACGGACACUUUAGACACACCAAUCAACCUACCAUGCAUGUCUUUGGACUGGGGGAGGGAACCGGAGUACCCGGAGGAAACCCCCGCAGAACGGGGAGAACAUGCAAACUCCGCACACACAUGGCCCCGACAGGACUUUGGUUUCCUCCCCCAGUCCAAAGACAUGCAUGGUAGGUUGAUUGGUGUGGAUAUUAUAUAUAUUCUUCCUAAUAUAUAAUAUAAGUAAAUAAUAAAACAGAAUGGGGUGUGCUGUUAUAAGAAAACGAUGUGGUAAUGAGAUGUGGGAUGAUGCAAAGUGGAGUUACUGUUACAACCACGAAACGCAUUAUGAAACAACUUAAUUUUUUUUCUUUUAUAGUCAGAUUUAAACUUGUGGAAUCCUGUUAUCAUUUAAUUUAGUACAGAUAUAAGCAAUUGUUUUUCUUUAUUAAGUAAUGUUUUGAGUUAGUUUUAAUAACACUUAGUCAUUUAUUUAUUAUUAUGCUUUAUCAUACAAAUCCCUCUGCAAUGAUAACAUAAUAAAAUUAAUGUAUCACGAAUUGAAAAUUCAACAGUGCUGUGGUAUAUAAUAUAAUAUAAUAUAAUAUA